GUUUAUUAGUGAUAUAUACAGUUAUUAGCUCAAUUUGUGUAUGUAUUGAUGUAUAGCAAUGUUUACCAUUGUUUUCAGUGUAUUUUUAUAUACUAAUGCAUAUAACCAUGCAAAACAUUAGUUAUUAGCUCUAUAUAUAGUUGUGUGUACAAAUACAUUGACAUGUGUGUGUGUGUAUGUAUAUAUACUGAUAUGUGUGUAUGUGUAAAAGGCAUAACUGUAUAUAUACAGUGCACUAUAUGACCAUAAUAUGUACAUUUCUAUAAAUAUUGAUGUAUAUGAUCAUAUAUACACUUAUUAUCAGUUUAUACAGUCAGUAACAUAUAUGUAUACUGAUUUAUAUACUGCACACACUCAUACUCACACUCACACUCACACUCACACUCACAUUAACACUCACACUCACACUUACUCACACACAUACUCACACUCACACUCACACUCACGCUCACACUCACGCUCACACUCACACACACUCACACUCACUCACACUCACACUCACACUCACACUCACACUCACAUUUACA
rnacentral:lncRNA from 1 species